GAUACCAUUUAUAUGGUAUCGUUUCAUUGACAUCUAAAGCGUUUUGGAUUUUUCUGCAAAUAAUGGCAGUGACGCUUGAAGUAACAUUAUAGUUUUACUUUAGUGUUAUUUAACAUCAAUUAUAGACAUUUGAGGGAAAGUCCAAUUCUAACCUCACACUUGCUCUCUCCUCGAUAUAAACACUCAAUGGCUACUCAGAACCCUCCUCCCUCCAUCCAAACUUCAAUAUGGCAGGAGCUCCCUAAUUCAUUCCUUGAAAGAGGGUUGUGACUCACUGGAUUGUCAUUUGCUCAGCCAGGAGAGUUAAGUACUAAAGACAUUAUCCCUUUAUCACUGGCUUCUUUCAUCAUUAUUAGACCAGACCAGAUUACCAGAAUUAUGGGUAUUCAUCAGUUAGUAACAUCUCUAAGGAUGACAAUCCAUAUACAAAAAUAACCCUCCUUCAUGCAUACAUGUAUAAUUCCUGAUUCUCGAUAGGAAUUCUGCCUGUGAAAGAAAAUGCCGAACUCUAAUUUCUGAAACCAAAAAUGGGGCCGCACGCACAGGGGUACAGAUUCUAGGCGUGCCCUGAGCGCGCACACACCGCAAACACAAAAUUGAAAGGGAAAGGAACAAGUUUUUAUAAAAAAAAAUAAGCCUGGUCCUGUGGAAAAUAAAAAAAAAGUCCACACCAGGGGGGGAAUAAAUACAACGCCCAGCUGGAGUGUCGCUCUUCUUGCCUAGACUGGGAAAAAAAUCUCUCACCAGCAACACCGCUCUCUCCGCAGUGCUGGGGAAAGCCAUAUUGAGUAGCAGCAGCUCUUCUUGUCAGUGCCGGAGAAAAAACGCUGCGGCAGCGCUGGGGGAAAUAAACUUCAGUAGCAGCACUGCUUUUUUUAUCAAUUGGGGAAACAACACGGGGUAGAAGAGCAACUCUUCUCGUCAGUGAUGGGGAAGUUACUCGGCAGCAAGGUUGCCGCACUCCUCACCCGAAUUCGGGCAGGUAACGCCUCUCUGCAAACCCCCAGAUAAGAGAAAUCCGGGCAGCAUCGCGUCUGUGAAUCAACUCGUCGCCAACAGCGUCUUCCACACGGCGCUCGAUUUGUUCUGUCUGGAGCAGGAUGUAUAGCUGAUCCUGCUCCAGUGAUCGUUGGGCCCAUCGACUCGCCGGGAUCUGCGCGCCACCAUCUUGGUUGGUGCGACUGAUGAAGGCCAAGAUGCCAAAACAUCCAUCCAUCCAUUUUCCAUCUGCUUUAACCAGUUCCGAUUUGUGGGGGAGCCGGAGCCUAUCCCUGCAAGCGACAAGCACGAAGCAGAAAUGGCGAGUGAGGAAGGAGCUGUCUGCUGCAGCAUGUGGUUGUGCUGUUAAUGACGGACCUGCUGGCACAAAGUGCUCUGCGAGGGAACAUGCGG